AAAAAAAGCAUAAUACAAAUAGGAAUUUGCUAAACAGUCCUACUAAAAUAUAAAACUUUCUAAACAUUAUUUAUUAAAUUUCUUACUAAAAAAACAUAAUAAUUGUUAAGAUGCCCUUUUCUCCAAGAUUGGUUUGGAUCACAACUAGGACUAAGACUAAACCUUUGGGGAGGAACUAAUACUGCAUCAAUUAGCAAACAGGCAACCAAAUGAAACUGGAAAAGUACGUCAUGCCCCAGAAACACUUCUGCACAGCCAUUGACAAACUUCCAUUUAGAUUUUCAAAAUGCCAUCACUUUCUCAUAGCAUUUAUAAAAAAAAAA
rnacentral:misc_RNA from 1 species